rnacentral:lncRNA from 1 species
UGACGGAAGGGAGUUCUUGAAGCCUUUUCUCUUCGGCACUGAUUGCCUUGGUCACCUACUCCAUUUCCUUGGCGAGCUCUGCCCUUCGGCGUUUGAGGCGGUCUAUCUCGCCGACGAUCCCUGGGCGGGAAUCCUCCAGAAAGUGGAUGCGUUGGUGUACCUCUUGAGCCUGACGUUUGUACGCGUCCUCUUCUUCACGGGUCUUGGCCAACUU